rnacentral:rRNA from 1 species
UACAGGGGGGGGCAAGCGUUGUUCGGAAUUACUGGGCGUAAAGGGCUCGUAGGCGGCCAACUAAGUCACACGUGAAAUCCCCAGCUUAACCUGGGAACUGCGUGUGAUACUGGAUGGCUUGAAUCCGGGAGAGGGAUGCAGAAUUCCAGGUGUAGCGGUGAAAUGCGUAGAUAUCUGGAGGAACACCGGUGGCGAAGGCGGCAUCCUGGACCAACACUGACACUGAGGAGCGAAAGCCAGGGGAGCAAACGGG